rnacentral:lncRNA from 1 species
GAGAUGCAACUAGAAGAGCCCAGGAGACCCGCAUCCACAUCAGAUAUAAAUAGGCCAUCGUCAAGAUCAUCUAGGAGAGGCCCUGGGCAGUUACAACUCUAAUGGUUAAAGCUGUCAGCAUUUUAGUCAAGCCAGAUAUAUACUGAUAUCAGCAAAUGUGGCAGUUGUGGGUGAGAUGUGUUAUAAUUUGUAAAAUUGUAUAUCGUUGUAGUCUCUUUUAUUAAACUGAUGGAGGUUGGGAUGGUGAAGAUUGGCUUUGGAUGACGAGAAAGCUUGGGUCUACCCAACCUAUUCUUUUUUCUUUUGUAAACGGGAUAAUGCCCAUGUGGUUGUGUUAUUUUUUUAUUGGAAACCAUAUGGGCUAGAGGGAGAUAUUAAAUUUAGAAAAUCCAGUUUGUUUUUUUUUUCUUUUCUUUAUUUUCCCCUUCAGCUAUUAAGCAGCUUCAUAAAAUAAGCAAAUCAGCUAAUUCAUGUACACAUUAGUAUUUUGGGGGUGAGUGAUGCCUGUAUUAUUUAUUGCUUAAUGAUGGGUCGGCUUUUGUACUCUCUCUCUCUCUCUCUCUCUCUCUCUCUCUCUCUCUCUCUCUCUCCAUGCAAAAAUCCAUAUAUUGAGUUCAUAUGUUCAUAUGUAUGCAUAUAUACAUAUGUAUACGCACAAACGCUACUCUCUCUCUCUCUCUCUCUCUCUCUGCAUAUACAUGUGUAUAUAUAUAUAUAUAUGUCUACGUGCGUUCACAAUCUUUUGUUCGAGUAGCCAACCUCAUAUCCCCGAUAAAAUCUAGAAAAGAGGGAAAACGAAAGCGCGCCAAAUCUCAGCCAAGGAAAAUGACCGUCAGGCAGAAACAGUGGGUGAAGAUUUCCAAACUCAAAUCUUCACAACUCUCCUGCUAAAUGUCACAAACAACCACCAGCAAGUUUAUAUAUGUAUAUGUAUAGUCAAUAUAUAUACAUAAAUGCAUAUACAUAAACACAAACAGCAUACACACCACGUAUAUAAGUAUGUAUAUCCACAAGCGUCAUCCCCAUUUCAUUCUUACCUCAGAUCUCUGGAUAUGGAAUGACGCUCUCCCCAAACUCUUCCUCUGCAACACACGUGUUAAAAAAAUUUAACAUACACGACAAUUUUUGUCGGUUUGAUCUCCUUAAAUGCACUAUUUCAUUGCUUCGUCAUGUAUAUAAAUAAUAAAGGUACAGUACCCACGACAUUCGAUGAUAGGAGUGGUUUUGGAUUAUUCAUCUCUCUCUCUCUGUCCAUCGAGCAUGGCAACCAAACUGCAUCAAGAUCACGUCUUGUUAUCAUCGUCUGAGGCCAAAGCCGGUGACAAGCUCGUCGGAAAGACUGCAGAAGAACUGGAGGUUAAACACGGUGGAUCGUUGAUGGUAUGGAGUCUCCAGAAUUGGUGGGGAAGCGGAGGGGAUCUACACAGGCAGAUCCUGAAGCUGGUAGAAGAAGAAGAAUUGCACCUUAGAGAAGAUACUAUUUAUGACCAUCAAUAUCAGAAUUGUCGUCAUUAUUACGUGCGGUUCCUGGGGAGUCUCUUCUUACCUUGAUUGCUUAGAGGCGAGCGAGGCAACAUGGAACUCCCCAGGAACCAUUCUUUAUGAGGACGUAUGUAUAAUGUUGAUGGUAAUAAAUGGUAUCUUCCCCAAGAUGCAAGUCUUCCUCUAUUACCCUCAGUAUCUGCCUGUGCCCACUGACUUUAGAGACUCCAUAUCAUCUGACGAUCUGCCGCAGCCUUUCCAGCGAGCUUGUUACCGGCUGUGAGCUUACUGCGUGGUUCCUUCAAUCCCGGCAUGUUCGAAUCUUAGGAUUGUGCAUGGUUUUUGUGCCUCUUGGCUAGACGUUUGGCGGAGGCACGUUUGCGAUGGAGGUGGGGAAAGGGGGGUCUCCUUACGGUUCAUGGAUUUAUUUGUCAAUUGAUUGUAAAAAGGCCCAAGCCUGUUAACCCAUGAAGAGUACACGUUCG